GUCGUCGAUCCGAUAUGGCUGCUUAUCGAUGUAAAACGGCUCUUGCAAGUAAUCAUGGGUAAAAAGGAUACAGUUCAAAUGACGUGCAGUUUAAAAGUGUCAUAACGCAUCGACUAGGUACCUGUGUGGCCAUUGGAUGGACAGCAAGGUUAGAGCCCAUGGUAGUCCUGGCAAUUCUCCGUCGUACCCCUGGGAUCCCCCUGGCAUCCUCACGGACCGUCGAGAAGCCUCAGGUUUCCAGUUUUUCUCAGCGCCGCAGCUCAACCAGCUCUCGAUCUAAUAGCUCGGCUCGAGUCCCUCGGUCCGUGCUCCUUCCUCUCCUUCAGCUUUGCUCCUCGCUCUUUCCUGCCGACGUCUCCUCUCGUCCUACGUCCACGCCGGAGACACACUCCUCCCCCACCUCACUCCGGAUCCCAAGCGUCCAGGAGCUCAGGCUGCCGAGGCCUGUGCCAGCCAGAAGCGAACACGGCGAAGCCGGGCAGCCCGCGCGGAUCUCGACCUAAUGAGGAUAAUUCCUGCAUUGAUUGCCAAGCAUCGAAUGGUGCAGCCUCCGGUUGGCUGGCUGAACGCUCGUUUGGAUUGGCUUUGCUUGGCUCGCUCGCUGACGACGGAAGAUCGGGGCCCUGUUAUCGGCGGUGGGCGAUUCGGCUGGCAUCUGGUGAGGAUCUGGCCUGCUGCCGAGUCGGAAGGAUCCGAUGAAAAAGAUGGGGGACAGACGCAUGAAGAAAAUAUCUAAUAAAGACGAGGAAUCUUCACCUCGCUAACCGUGGAGCGAGCAGGAGAAAAAGUCUCGGAGAAAUAAUGACGAUG